GUAACACGCAACGCUAUUGGCGGCCAUUUUACAACAUGGAACGCUACUGGCUGCCAUACCAAGUAGUGGGCGAACGCUAUUGGCUGCCAUUCUAAUAAAUGGGAGAACGCUAUUGGCUGGCACUCCAAAGAAUGAACCUCGACAUUACUCGCUCGCAGGUCCGAACAUAUUACAAAAGGUCCGAACGGCAACGAAACAAAAGGUCAUAGGUCAUAACACUUCAAAUGUGGGUCCGAAGACUUCAGAACGUAAGUCCUAACGAGAGUCCCGGACAUAGGGAGGCGAAAGAAGAAGGCUUCGCCACCACAAGGUUUCGCGUUUCCGCCAUAUUUUCCACCGCAAUAAAGAAACAAUAGGACAAAGUCAAUUGACAUGACACAUUCCCCAUUUACUGCAUCACGUCUUCUCUAAGGGGGCCGUCCUACACUCCGCUUCAUUUAUUAGCAGUUGGUCACAUGCAGCGAUCAUGUCCCUCCCGUCUUCGGAGAAUGUAAACAAAUCAAGAGGUAUCAGCUACCCGGCAUGCUAACCCAAACUGAGUAACGUCUCAAAGUCUUAUUUUUGCUGUUUGAAGCAAAAAAUCACACAAAACUAGCCUGGAUCAUGUCACAUGGCGGCGGGGUUGUCGAUAGUCUUCGCCGAUCGGCAACCCGCCCGGCGGCGAGCAAGUUACAGCUUGUUCCCCUGCUACGGACAGGAGAGCUCGCCGGGGAAGCAGCUGGAGAGUACAUUUUCGGUGGACAAUCAGGCACAAAAUG